GAUGAAGAACGUAGCGAAAUGCGAUACUUGGUGUGAAUUGCAGAAUUCAGUGAAUCAUCGAAUCUUUGAACGCACAUUGCGCCCGCCAGUAUUCUGGCGGGCAUGCCUGUUCGAGCGUCAUUACAACCCUCAGGCCCCCGGGCCUGGCGUUGGGGAUCGGCGGAGCCCCCCGUGGGCACACGCCGUCCCCCAAAUGCAGUGGCGGUCCCGCCGCAGCUUCCAUCGCGUAGUAGCUAACACCUCGCGACUGGAGAGCGGCGCGGCCACGCCGUAAAACACCCAACUCUUCUGAAGUUGACCUCGAAUCAGGUAGGAAUACCCGCUGAACUUAAGCAUAUCAAUAAGCGGAGGA
rnacentral:misc_RNA from 1 species